rnacentral:tRNA from 1 species
UUCGGCUGUUAACCGAAGGGUCGUUGGUUCGAGUCCAACAGGGGGAGCCA